UGGCCGUAAACGAUGUGGACUUGGUGUUGGAAUGGCUCCGAGCUGCUCCAGUGCCGAAGGGAAGCUGUUAAGUCCACCGCCUGGGAAGUACGGUCGCAAGACUGAAACUUAAAGGAAUUGGCGGGGGGAGCACCACAACGCGUGGAGCCUGCGGUUAAUGGAUUCAACGCCGGACAUCUCACCAGGGGGCGACAGCAGAAUGAUGGCCAGGUUGAUGACCUUGCUUGACAAGCUGAGAGGAGGUGCAUGGCGUGUGACUGU
rnacentral:rRNA from 1 species